ACAAUGGCUAGAAUUCUGACAGAUCCAUGUGUCAUACAGGUUCUGUUGGCACGGCCUGCCUAGGGAGAGCACAGAAAGAGCUGCAGCCCUGUGCCAGCCAAUGGUAAUGGAGAGCAGGAUCGUGUACAGAGCUGUGGUAAGAGGGCAGGGCAGAGGGCAUGGCAGCAUUGGCUGUUUGAAAUGAGAGGAUGGAAUGAGUGGUUGUGAUGCAACUGAUUUAUGUCCUCCUCCUUUGUCUUGGAAAUGCAGAGGCCCAGUGGAGAACACGUCCUGACCAUGGAUCCUCCUGACCUAUGCUGGAGAGAUGUUCCUUUUUCAACAUGGACAUCAGUACAGAGCAGUUUAAUCAAACUAACAGCAUUAUUGCUGCAAUGUGGUUUCCAGCAACUGGUAACUGCCACUGUGAUGCCAUGAGCAUGUCACAGUGGCUGGAAUGCUGACAGAUCCAUGUGUCACAUAGGUAUUGGUGAGAUGGUCUGCAUAGGGAGAUGAUAGAAAGUGCUGCAGCCCUAUGCCAGACUGGUUCAGGGCAAGGAGGAUGGUGUGCUGAGGUAGAGGUUAGGUUUCCCCAUGAUGAUCGUGUCCUGUACCAUCGGGAUGUGCUAUCUUCUUGUUGCUCACGUUGUAGUAGUCUUACCAGAAGGAACCUUGAGCCUGGAUGUUGCACAGGAGCUCCACUACCAUCCUGACAGCUUUCUGAAUAUGUCCAUCCAGGGAGUAAGUUCUAAUUUCUCUCUCUCUCUCUCUCUCUGUUUUUUGUUUGUUUGUUUGUUUGUUUGUUUGUUUGUUUGUCCCCUCCCCUCCAUUUUCUUACACUUUUCCCCAUCUUUGGCUCUUCUCCUACAUAUCAGAUAAUGAAUUUUACGAGUUCCCAAAUCUCCUUCAGAUAACCCAUAAUAAUUUUGUUUUUUUCCAUGAUAAUUUUCUUUUUCCCUUUCUAAUUUGCCAAAGUCUACCUGAAGCUCU
rnacentral:lncRNA from 1 species